rnacentral:rRNA from 1 species
CCUACGGGGGGCAGCAGUGGGGAAUAUUGCACAAUGGGGGAAACCCUGAUGCAGCGACGCCGCGUGAGCGAAGAAGUAUUUCGGUAUGUAAAGCUCUAUCAGCAGGGAAGAAAAUGACGGUACCUGACUAAGAAGCUCCGGCUAAAUACGUGCCAGCAGCCGCGGUAAUACGUAUGGAGCAAGCGUUAUCCGGAUUUACUGGGUGUAAAGGGAGCGUAGGCGGUAAGGCAAGUCUGAUGUGAAAGGCCAGGGCUCAACCCUGGGACUGCAUUGGAAACUGUUUAACUGGAGUGUCGGAGAGGCAA